UCACAUCUUACGACGGCAGUCUCACUAGAGUCCUCAGCAUGACCUGUUAGUAACUAAUGAUAAGGGUUGCGCUCGUUAUGGCACUUAAGCCGACACCUCACGGCACGAGCUGACGACAACCAUGCAGCACCUUCACAGAGACCUUGCGGCCAUAAUCUUUCAACUAUGUUCCUCUGCAAUUCAAGCCCGGGUAAGGUUCCUCGCGUAUCAUCGAAUUAAACCACAUGUUCCUCCGCUUGUGCGGGCCCCCGUCAAUUCCUUUGAGUUUCACCGUUGCCGGCGUACUCCCCAGGUGGAAUACUUAAUGCUUUCGCUUGGCCGCUUACUGUAUAUCGCAAACAGCGAGUAUUCAUCGUUUACUGUGUGGACUAC
rnacentral:misc_RNA from 1 species